rnacentral:rRNA from 1 species
GACGAACGCUGGCGGCGUGCUUAACACAUGCAAGUCGAACGGAAAGGCCCUGCUUUUGUGGGGUGCUCGAGUGGCGAACGGGUGAGUAACACGUGAGUAACCUGCCCUUGACUUUGGGAUAACUUCAGGAAACUGGGGCUAACACCGGAUAGGAGCUCCUGCUGCAUGGUGGGGGUUGGAAAGUUUCGGCGGUUGGGGAUGGACUCGCGGCUUAUCAGCUUGUUGGUGGGGUAGUGGCUUACCAAGGCUUUGACGGGUAGCCGGCCUGAGAGGGUGACCGGCCACAUUGGGACUGAGAUACGGCCCAGACGCGUACGGGAGGCAGCGGUGGGGAGUAUUGCGCAAUGGGCGGAAGCCUGAUGCAGCAACGCCGCGUGCGGGAUGACGGCCUUCGGGUUGUAAACCGCUUUCGCCUGUGACGAAGCGUGAGUGACGGUAAUGGAUAAAGAAGCACCGGCUAACUACGUG